GGGAAGGUAGCUUAGUGGUAGAGUGCUUGCCUCAUAUGCAUGAGACCCUGGGUUCAAUUCCUCAGCACCA
rfam:Dipodomys ordii contig_27685, whole genome shotgun sequence.